UACGGGGGGGGCAAGCGUUGUUCGGAAUUACUGGGCGUAAAGGGCUCGUAGGCGGCCAACUAAGUCAGACGUGAAAUCCCUCGGCUUAACCGGGGAACUGCGUCUGAUACUGGAUGGCUUGAGUUCGGGAGAGGUGAGUGGAACUGCGAGUGUAGAGGUGAAAUUCGUAGAUAUUCGCAAGAACACCAGUGGCGAAGGCGGCUCACUGGCCCGAUACUGACGCUGAGGUGCGAAAGCGUGGGGAGCAAACAGG
rnacentral:rRNA from 1 species